UUCCAUUUGAUUGAAUGUCUUUUAUUAUGUGCCUUUUUAAAAAAAAAAAAAAAUCACUAAACAGUUGGCUCUUUUGAGUUUUAUUAAUCGUUGCCUCCAAAGUUGUUUCUUCCUUCAAAAAUAAAACCACUAAACAGUCGCCUCACAGUCCUACCGUCGAGUUGCAGUCUGUUUCCAUCAUAAAUCAAUCCGCAAUAAUCACGAUUCACAAUCAUCUUCAUACAAAAUGGAGAGAAAAAAUUUCAGAUUUCAUAAAUCAACAUAGAAAAGAAAUCGGUGGGUGCGAAAUCUCUGGGGUUACUUAUAAACAUGAGUUAAGCAGAUACACAUGCUUUUCAGCUCCACUUCUAGAAUAUUUUGUUACAAAGCUUAUAGUAAGGCCACCACAUAAACCAUAAGGGCGGCAAUCUGAUAAGACAGAUUUGGAGUUGAGUGGUGCAUCCAGAAUGGGCACAUCAAUCAUACUGUAGAUGGUUCUAUGGUGAUUAUCAACAUGCUAAGAGACCAAAAUCACUCCUAAUUUCAAAAUGAGAGUCAUCCUUCAAAGUACUUCCAGAUGCUAAGACAGGCUGACGUGGAUAUCCAAUAUGCUUCAGGUAAGCGAACCAAGUUGUUGAUGGUUUAGGAAACUAUGCAACUGAUUUAGAACAAGCUAAUAUGUGUAAUUUUCCAGCAAAUGCCUCAAUGGCUUUCUUCUUGGUGGAUAAGUGGCAGAUGUCAAGUUUCAGGAUAAAAUAUGACAAAGCCAACUUCUAUGUUAGUUGAUGUAAAUACUCUAUGUUCAAUGGCUGUAUUUAGAUGGGUCCA